GGGAAGAUGGCCGAGUGGUUAUGGCGCUACGUUCAGGUCUUGGCACUGCAUUCUAGCAGUGCCCCGGCUUCGUAGUAGGGCAACCUGCGUGGGUUCGAGUCCCACUCUUCUCA
rfam:Emmonsia parva TAMH 139 supercont1.3556, whole genome shotgun sequence.